rnacentral:sRNA from 1 species
GCAGAGUAGCAGUGCCAGCGGCGACACAGGCAGCACAGGCAGCCCGGGCUGCCUGAAUAGCCUCAGAAACAACCUCACCGACUCCGGCUGCUCUGCGGACUGCGAGCUGUGGCGGUAGAGCCCGCUACAGCAGUCGCAGUCUCCGUGGAGCGGGCGGAAGCCUUUUUUCUCCCUUUCGUUUACCUCUUCAUUCUACUCUAAAGGCAUCGUUAUUAGUUCAUCAUAGAGAGAGCGCGGACGGUGUGCGGGCGGUCUUGACGAAAGAACCAAGAGAUGGAUGCGCUAAGGAAAAUCCUGUUGUGAAUAAGAAGGAUUCCACAGAUCACAUA